GCCUUGCCGUGGUCAGUGGUAGAAUUCUAGCUUGCCAUGUUGGAGACCUGGGUUCGAUUCCCAGCCAACGCA